UAGUAGUAGGUAGUUGUUGUUGUUGUUGUGGCUGUUGUAAUAGUAGUAGUAGUUUUGCAGAAGUAGUAGUAGUAGUAGUAGUACUAGUAGUAGAAGUAAUAGUAGUAACUUUCAAAGCAAUGUCUACAAGUUUAAAUUCCUUAACCCUGUUCAAGGUGUAUACACACUCAAUAUUUAACUACAGUCCAGGUUUGCAAUUAACAAACUAUCUGAAAAGCCUGUGUGUGAGUCAGAUGUGUCUGCGGCUAAUCUAUUGGUUAUAAAAUAUCACAGCCUUUUCUGAUUGGCUGAGUUCAAAUACAGAAAGUUUACCUGUUAGAUUGAAAUUCUGGAGAAGGCGUAUUGAAGAAAAAAUGCAGGUUAAACUUGUUGUUAAAAUGAAGUUAAUGUAAUUUCACAAACAGUAGAGUUAAUGAGUUUUUCCAUUAACAAGAAUUUCUUAAAAUAAUAAUGUAUGGAUAUCAUUUGGAAAGUGACAGGAAAUGUUGUUAAAAAGUGAUGCAUACAAGUGUUUCAGAAGUCUGUCUAGGAAUAGAACAACAACUGAAGCUGACCAGUUGAUGGAAGAUACUGCAGAGUUUGGCAGGGAAAUAACCCAAGACAGCAAAGCGGCUCUUUUGGCGCAUUUACCAAGAGGACUAACAUGGCCACAAAUUCAUGAGAUCAUGCAGGAGCCCUACAGUAUAACAGCAGUACAAGUUCUAUAAAAGAUCCACGACCUACUGAAGCCCAGCUAAUUAACAAAAAAGUUUUUAAAAACUGUAAUUUUAUCCCAUCUGGGUACUUAUAAUUUACUAAGCUGCCUACACAAGUUUUAGAUUUGCAAUUAUAUUUUAAAUUGUCACUUGGAAAGUAAUACAUGUACAUCUAUUAUGUUCUGAAUUUCUUUGAACAAUAAAAUUAUAUAAAAGUAUUUUAAUGAAAUUAAGCACCUAAAUUGCAUUAAAGUGAAAGUAGCUGAGAACAAGAUGUGUUUGUGAAACACAAUGUCCCCCUAUAUGACGUUUGACCUUGAAGGAUGACCUUGACCUUGACCCUUCACCACUCAAAAUGUGCAGCUCCAUGAGAUACACAUGCAUGUCAAAUAUAAAAUUGCUAGCUUCAAUAUUGCAGAAGUUGCAUUACAUGAGCAAUUUUGACCCAUAUAUUUGACUUGGAAGGAUGACCUUGACCUUGACCUUUCACCACUCAAAAUGUGCAGCUCCAUAAGUUACACAUGCAUGCCAAAUAUCAAGUUGCUAUCUUCAAUAUUGCAAAAGUUUUCAUAAAAUAAGCGAUUUGGGCCACAUAUAUUUGACCUCUGACCUUGAAGGAUGACCUUGACCUUUCACCACUCAAAAUGUGCAGCUCUAUAAGUUACACAUGCAUGCCAAAUAUCAAGUUGCUAUCUUUAAUAUUGCAAAAGUAUUCAUAAAAUAAGCGAUUUGGGCCACAUAUAUUUGACCUCUGACCUUGAAGUAUGACCUUGACCUUUCACCACUCAAAAUGUGCAGCUCCAUGAGAUACACAUGCAUGCCAAAUAUCAAGUUGAUAUCUUCAAUAUUGCAAAAGUAUUCAUAAAAUGAGCGAUUUUGGCCACAUAUAUUUGACCUCUGACCUUGAAGGAUGACCUUGACCUUUCACCACUCAAAAUGUGCAGCUCCAUGAGAUACACAUGCAUGCCAAAUAUCAAGUUGCUAUCUUCAAUAUAGCAAAAGUUAUUGCAAAAUGUUAAAGUUGGUGCAAACCAACCAACCAACCAACAGACCAACCAACCAACAGACUAACCAACAGACAGGGCAAAAACAAUAUGUCCCCCACUACUAUAGUGGGGGACAUAAAAAUAUUAUCCUUGUGCUCAUGUUCAGCUACAUAUAUUGUGACAUACAUGAAGCAGCUAAAAAUAACUUAAAUUUUUCAUUUUGUUUCUUGUAUAUCGUUUGUACAGGGUUCGUGAAUUGUUACUGUAUAUUACUUGACUUGCUUGUAUUUUGUUACUUUGAAUACAUGUUGUGAAGGUUGCAUUAUACUUUUUAACUUUUAAAGGAGCGCUUGUUCUGUUAUGUAAGGGCCUGAUUUAUGAUUAUGGACCUAGAGGCUUUGUAAGCAUGUAUUAAACAACACUUGUUUGAUCUGAAUAAUUUGUUAAAUAAAUGUAACACAAUUUGUAAUCUGAUGUUAUAUUUUGAUGAAUUGUGAACAAAAUAAUACAUCGAAGAAACUAA